AUCCCGCGCCUGUCCACACACACGGGUUUCGUCGCGCAUCGGGUCGCUACCGAGACCGGACACCGGUUUCGCCGCCGAAAAUGUCGGUGUGCGACGUAAUGAGUUAAUAACGUCUAAAAUGGUGCGCGUCACGUCCGUUAAAACUGUUGCCCGUGUCCGAAUUCCGAAAAAUGUAAACGCGUCGGCGUCUCGCGUUACGUCCGAUAACUGCACCGCGUGACGUGUUUUUUAUGUUUUUUUUUCAAAACCAAAUUUAAAAAUCGACUC